GGAUACCCGAGGGAAACUUCGGUUAAUACGGUAUAAGACCACACUACCGCAUGGUAGAGGGGUAAAAGGGGCAACCUGGUAUGAGAUGGACUCGCGUCGCAUUAGCUAGUUGGUGAGGUAACGGCCCACCAAGGCGACGAUGCGUAGCCGACCUGAGAGGGUGAUCGGCCACAUUGGGACUGAGAUACGGCCCAGACUCCUACGGGAGGCAGCAGUGGGGAAUAUUGGGCAAUGGAGGAAACUCUGACCCAGCAAUGCCGCGUGAAUGAAGAAGGUCUUCGGAUUGUAAAGUUCUUUAGUCAGGGAAGAAGUCAAUGACGGUACCUGAAGAAUAAGCUCCGGCUAACUACGUGCCAGCAGCCGCGGUAAUACGUAGGGAGCAAGCGUUGUUCGGAAUGACUGGGCGUAAAGGGUGCGUAGGCGGUUGUACAAGUUAGAGGUGAAAUACCCAGGGCUUAACUCGGGUGCUGCUUCUAAAACUGUAUGACUUGAGUGCAGUAGAGGUUAGUGGAAUUCCUAGUGUAGCGGUGGAAUGCGUAGAUAUUAGGAGGAACACCAGAGGCGAAGGCGGCUAACUGGACUGCAACUGACGCUGAGGCACGAAAGUGUGGGGAGCAAACAGGAUUAGAUACCCUGGUAGUCCACACUGUAAACGAUGGAUACUAGAUGUAGGAGGUAUCGACUCCUUCUGCGUCG
rnacentral:rRNA from 1 species